rnacentral:rRNA from 1 species
UGAGGAAUAUUCCGCAAUGGGCGAAAGCCUGACGGAGCGAUGCCGCGUGAGAGAUGAAGGUCUUCGGAUUGUAACUCUCUGUUAUGGGGAAAGAAGGGUUUCUGUUUUAAUAGAGCGGGAACUUUGACGGUACUCCAAGAGAAAGCCCUGGCUAACUACGUGCCAGCAGCCGCGGUAAUACGUAGAGGGCAAGCGUUGUUCGGAAUCACUGGGCGUAAAGGGUGUGUAGGCGGUGCUACAAGUUGGAUGUGAAAGCCAGGGGCUCAACCCCUGAACUGCAUCCAAAACUGUAGCUCUGGAGUAUGGUAUGGAAUAGUGGAAUUCCUGGUGUAGCAGUAAAAUGCGUAGAUAUCAGGAGGAACACCGGAGGCGAAGGCGGCUAUUUGGGCCAAUACUGACGCUGAGACACGAAAGCGUGGGGAGCAAACAGG